GAUGAACGCUGGCGGCGUGCCUAAUACAUGCAAGUCGAGCGAACGGACGAGAAGCUUGCUUCUCUGAUGUUAGCGGCGGACGGGUGAGUAACACGUGGAUAACCUACCUAUAAGACUGGGAUAACUUCGGGAAACCGGAGCUAAUACCGGAUAAUAUUUUGAACCGCAUGGUUCAAAAGUGAAAGACGGUCUUGCUGUCACUUAUAGAUGGAUCCGCGCUGCAUUAGCUAGUUGGUAAGGUAACGGCUUACCAAGGCAACGAUGCAUAGCCGACCUGAGAGGGUGAUCGGCCACCCUAGAACUGAAACACGGUCCAGACUCCUACGGGAGGCAGCAGUAGGGAAUCUUCCGCAAAGGGCGAAAGCCUGACGGAGCAACGCCGCGUGAGUGAUGAAGGUCUUCGGAUCGUAAAACUCUGUUAUUAGGGAAGAACAUAUGUGUAAGUAACUGUGCACAUCUUGACGGUACCUAAUCAGAAAGCCACGGCUAACUACGUG
rnacentral:rRNA from 1 species